rnacentral:lncRNA from 1 species
GGCUACCAUCAUUCUUCGGGUUCAUAAUGCCUCCACAACAUUCAAUAAUGGCAGAGUCUAACAUUGAUGAUCGGUGUCCUAUAACAACGGCCACACAACAAUGCUCCAACGACAUCCCUAUUGGUAUAAAAGAUGUUCUCCUCCAAACAACAUAAGUGAAACAAUUCUAUCAUAAAAUCUCUUACUCUUUAUUUACAUAGUGAUUUGAGCAUUAUAAUACUUACAAAUAGAUAUCCACCGGUGAUGAGUUUGAGUAGUUUACUAG